rnacentral:rRNA from 1 species
AGUGAACGCUGGCGGUAGGCCUAACACAUGCAAGUCGAACGGCAGCACAGUAAGAGCUUGCUCUUACGGGUGGCGAGUGGCGGACGGGUGAGGAAUACAUCGGAAUCUACUUUUUCGUGGGGGAUAACGUAGGGAAACUUACGCUAAUACCGCAUACGACCUACGGGUGAAAGCAGGGGAUCUUCGGACCUUGCGCGAUUGAAUGAGCCGAUGUCGGAUUAGCUAGUUGGCGGGGUAAAGGCCCACCAAGGCGACGAUCCGUAGCUGGUCUGAGAGGAUGAUCAGCCACACUGGAACUGAGACACGGUCCAGACUCCUACGGGAGGCAGCAGUGGGGAAUAUUGGACAAUGGGCGCAAGCCUGAUCCAGCCAUACCGCGUGGGUGAAGAAGGCCUUCGGGUUGUAAAGCCCCUUUGUUGGGAAAGAAAAGCAGCAGGUUAAUACCCCGCUGUUCUGACGGUACCCAAAGAAUAAGCACCGGCUAACUUCGU